GCUCAGAGUCACCCCAGCUUUCAUCGCUCUCCUUCUUCCUCUGACGGUUCAAUUCUGCGUAACCUCGGUUUAGAACUCUGAACAUCAGACAUGGUAGACCGUCCCAUCUCACAAGUCAAGGUGUUUGCUUCGGGAAGGUGUUUGUAGGGGGAUGAAGUCAAAGUCACGUGUCACAGACCACAUUUUACCUUUCACAGUCUUUCAUAUGUGAUCUCAGCAGAGCCUUGCAGUCACCCUGGGAAGUGGGCAAAGCUUGCUUCUGAGCCCAUUUUAUAAGGAGGAAACUGAGAAGGGAAGAAGAUGGGCAUUCCAGGACCUUGACCAAAAGACAUUAUGAAUGGACUCCUUAGGAUAGCCCGUUAUUAUUAUCCUUAGGAAAGACGUGUGCGUCGAAGUGCCUCAAGAAACCAAGAGCAAAGCCAUCCACUUCUUUGCCUUUAAGAAGAUAUUUGUGAGGAGACGGAGAGGCUCAGCAGGGACUAGCAACUUGCCUAAUGUCACACAGGGAAUCAGUGGAGCCUCCCUUCACACUGGGUCCUACUGGGCUCCCAGGUCUCUGCCCUCUGCUUCACCACGUGGGUUUUCAUUCAACAUUAGUUCCUGGAUGUGGGAAGAAACUUCUCCAAGGGAAGAAAAUCAAUCAGUCCUCUUACGAAAUGGAAUCUUGGAAGAAUUCCUUCAGCAAUACUGCUUUACAAUGGCAAUAAAUCCCUUGGAGUCGGUGGAGGUGGGGGGGGGGGGACACUGUUUGAAGAAUCUUUCAUCUUCCAUAACUCCACACUCUUCACCUGGCUGGUGCUAGGAAUUCUGGUCAACGGCCAGACUUUUCCUAUCACCAGGAAGGCCUUCGUCCCCUAAGAGAAUGAAAAGGAAUCCGGAUAUCUGAGGAAGUACAAGUUGGUACCAGGAUCAUAAGUUAGGUGCCCCUGUCUGCCCCACAAGGCUUUCCUAUCUUAACUGGAAAAAUAAUGGAAAGCCACUGAAAGGAUUUUAACAAGGAAGCAGGGUACAGCUCGAUUUGCAUUUUAACGGGAAGGGCCCAGAAACGAUUUGUUUUUCAAGAUCAGAAGUUAGCUGCCCAUGGUUCACAAGAGACCCCUCCCAGGGCCAAAGCUUGCUGUGGCCAAAGCUCACCAGGAGUGAAUGGCACUGAAAUCCAGCUCACGACCCCCUCACAAAGUCAUUUUGUGGAGUGGGACUAAGGACGGAAGGAAAGGCCUUUCCCUAAUUUGCACCAUGUGCCCUGGGCUCCUUGCAGUCCCAGUUGCUAUAAUUCUGGAAAAGACAAGACAAGAUGCUGAACAAAGGCAGUGGCAAUGAGAUUAGAGAGAAGGGGACAAGUUCACAUUGGCCUCAUGGGGUCUGAGGUGCUUAUGUGCAUGGUACCCGUCAAAAGACAUCCUUAUGUGACUGGAAAUUAACUAAAGGCUGGCUCUGAAAAUAGAAUCUGGAAGUUGCUCCUGCACACCCAAAGGAUCGUCUGUGGAAUGUGGACUGAGAUUGCGUCUCUGCCGUCAGGUGCAAAAGGCAUCGUUACUUACGGAGCUGUACUAGAAGGCAAGUAGAAAGUUCCAGGAAGAAAUGAUUAAUGUUCAACAGAAGGUCCCUCCUGGAUCAAUCUGCCAAGCUUAUUGGCUCCACGCACAUGAGCCCACCUAAAUCUAAACCCAUAACAUACACGUAAUGCAAGAGAAGUCGAACUUUCCUCCUGCUUCCCAAAUAGCCUCUUCUCAUGCACUCUGCUAACAGUCUGGAUGGAUACAAACAGCUGUUCUUUGCAAGAAUGCUAGAAAUUCUUCACUGACAGAUGGCAGCAAUUCCCUAGGGUGUAUACACACACACACACACACACACACACACACGCACACACGCACGUGCGCACACAGAAACUUUAGUAAGGUCAAUAACACUGAUAUUCAUCAACGGAGUUAUUAAAAUUUAGAGUCAGAAAGGCCUGGAAUUGAAAAACCCAAGCUUGUGUUUUUUUCUGGGCUUGAUGC
ensembl:lincRNA